CCCCGGGCCAUGGUUCCUCAUAAAGCUUUGUUUAAUUUUCUCUUGCUAUUCUGUCUCAUGUGAAUUUGAAUUCGUUCUCCGGCCAGACGAACCCCCAUUUGGGGAGAGGAAACGUCCUCCUCCCCUACAAUACUUAUCUGCUUUACUUUUUUGUAGAGGAAUAUAAGGAAUAAGCCUUCUGGCCAGGUCUUGGGACAACAUGGAAAUAUGAAGAACUGGUAUCUCAUCAGAAAACUGACAUCGUUCACUAUACACAUCAGCUGUGGGCUUUGAAAUGGAAGCCAAGAGGAAAUCUUUCCAUUUCUUGAUGUAUGCCCUUUAAAAUGGAACCUACUGAAGACCCCCCAGUGGAAAUCCAACAGGGUCAUCAUUGGUUAAAGUUAUGGAUCAUAAGGAAUAUUCAAGCUAAAUAUAUUAAUGAGAAGCAUAAAAGUGAUCACUCAGAAAAUUCACCUGAGGAUUAUCUUUAAAAAUAAUAAUUGUGAGGGGCUGGCCCCUUGGCCGAGUGGUUAAGUUUGCGCGCUCCGCUGCAGGCGGCCCAGUGUUUCGUUGGUUCGAAUCCUG
rnacentral:lncRNA from 1 species